rnacentral:rRNA from 1 species
CCUACGGGGGGCUGCAGUAGGGAAUCUUCCACAAUGGACGAAAGUCUGAAGGAGCAACGCCGCGUGGGUGAUGAAGGGUUUCGGCUCGUAAAACACUGUUGUAAGAGAAGAAUGACAUUGAGAGUAACUGUUCAGUGUGUGACGGUAUCUUACCAGAAAGGCACGGCUAAAUACGGGCCCGCAGCCGCGGUAAUACGUAUGUUCCUAGCGCUAUCCGGAUUUAUUGGGCGUAAAGCGAGCGCAGACGGUUAGUUAAGUCCGAAGUGAAAGCCCAGAGCUUAACUGUGGAAGUGCUUUGGAUGCUGGAUAACUUGAGUGCAGUAGAGGAGAGUGGAACACCAUGUGUAGCGGUGAAAUGCUUAGAUAUAUGGAAGAACACCAGUGGCGAAGGCGGCUCUCUGGACUGUAACUGACGCUGAGGCUCGAAAGUGUGGGUAUCAAACAGGAUUAGAUACCCCAGUAGUC